AUGCAUCCACUAUGCCUUACUUGCUCUGCCUCAGAGCAAGUGAUCCCUAACCCUAUUCCACCAUCAAAGAGCAGGUCUUUACUGGAUUCAGAUAAUGUUGUUGGACUGUUUGUCUUUGUUUGCUGCAUUGUGUAUUCUAGCAUCCGCACAUCCAGUAGUAGCCAAGUAGACAAGCUGACCCUGUCAGGGAGUGACACUGUGAUCCUUGGUGAUACAAUUACCAAUGGUGCCAGUGAUGAAGAAGAUGGACAACCUUGGCGGGCUGUGGACAAUGAGAAAGAGGGAGUGCAGUAUAGCUACUUCUUCUUCCACUUCAUGCUCUGCUUGGCUUCCUCAUACAUCAUGAUGACCCUGACUGGCUGGUACAGCCCUGAUGCAAAGUUUCAGAGCAUGACCAGCAAGUGGCCAGCUGUAUGGGUCAAGAUCAGCACCAGCUGGGUCUGCCUCCUGCUUUACGUCUGGACCCUUGUGGCUCCACUUGUCCUCACCAAUCGGGACUUUAGCUGAACGAACCUCUGAGUGCCAAGGACACCACUGCAACUCACAAAGGUCUCCUUCACUGAAAACUCAUUUACCUUUUAAGUUUGUUUCAACUAAAAUAUUAAGUGAAUGCUUUGCAAAUUUGACUGUAGCCAGGUUUAUAUCAGAAGGAGAGAUUGAAAAAUGCUUGAUGCAGAAUCUAUACUUCUCAUUUGUCUGUACAUUAUGUUUACUUCUAAGGAUAUAGCACAAAGGAAACUUUUUUGUUUAAAGUGAACUACAGCUGUGCUGUGAAGAGAGUUCUUUAUAAAGACUGUAGGUUCUUAUAAUUUUGGUUUAAA